rnacentral:rRNA from 1 species
AGGUCCUACGGGGGGCAGCAGUGGGGAAUAUUGCACAAUGGGGGAAACCCUGAUGCAGCGACGCCGCGUGAGCGAAGAAGUAUUUCGGUAUGUAAAGCUCUAUCAGCAGGGAAGAAAAAUGACGGUACCUGAGUAAGAAGCACCGGCUAAAUACGUGCCAGCAGCCGCGGUAAUACGUAUGGUGCAAGCGUUAUCCGGAUUUACUGGGUGUAAAGGGAGCGCAGGUGGCAUGGCAAGCCAGAAGUGAAAACCCGGGGCUUAACCCGGCGGAUUGAUUUUGGA